ensembl:lncRNA
GUGGUAGAUAUGCUUGCCAGUGACAUGGAGAAAAGUUCAUGAUGAAUUAAGGGGGAAAGAAGGUUACAAAUUGAUACAUACAGUACGAUCCCCACUUCAGUUUUGAAAAAUUAAAAUUGAAAAUCUAAGAGGUUGCAGCCCUCCUGUACUGGUCUCAUAAAAUUAAGCUGCAGUUCUUCUGCAAACAUUUCUUUGUCCAUGUAUAUCUCUUUCUCCAGUUAAACUUUAUUAGUUUUUGUUCUUUUAAAUUUCCUAAAUUUUCUGGAGCAAAUGUUUAAUUUUGGUAUUUUUUCAAUGUUAAAACAUAGACUAUUUGUAAAAUAAAUAAUCAGUACGGAUCUACUUUAUAGCACCAGGAGCUAUACUCAAUAUUUUGUAAUCACCUAUAAGGGAAAAGAAUCUGAAAAAAUAAAUAUAUGUAUAAGUGAAUCACUUUGCUGUACACCUGAAGCUAACACACUACUCCAGUUUAAUUAAUUAUUUUUUCUGUGAAAAAUGUAGAAACACUGUGGGCAGAGAAACUUAUCAGCAGACUGCCCGCAGUUCUUAUUUAUUUGGGUUGGAUUGAUUAUCCAGGGUGAUGGUAUGCAGUUCAAUGAUUCUCCUCUCUGUGUUUCUUCCCUUUUCUGCCCCAUCUCCCUUGUCCUCCUCCCAACUCUUUCUGCCUGUGUUUCCAUCCUUUGCCCCCGGCAGAAGAAGACGAUGGGCCCUUGUCAGAACAGGGAACCUCUGCCAGCACAAAGAGGACCUCGCUGAGCCGAGGGAUCUCUGUCACAUCCAACCUGGAAGNNNNNNNNNNNNNNNNNNNNNNNNNNNNNNNNNNNNNNCCCAAUGGUUCAGGACCUACCCAGAAGAAGAGGAGGAUGAGGAAAGCCUGGAGAAAAUCAUGUUUCAAAUAACCAUGUGUUUUAACAUUUCAGUACCAGGUCUCUCUAAGCAGAAGUGGGAAGGCUGUUCAGUGCCUUUCCUUCUCCCCAUAAAAUGCAUCUUCCCAACACUAUUACAUAUUAAUUCUGUAACAUGAAUAUGCCAUCAGUUCUUAGUCAUUUGCCCUACUGGUGAAAGUUCAGCUCAUUUUCAGUAUUCUCAGUAGGAGACAUUCCCCCAUAUGGGAUUAAGAGUCAAUGAAUAUCUGUGUUUUCAAUUCUAGCAGCUAUGGACAAAUUAUUAGCCAGAAAGGGCACUCUCACAUGCUGAAGGGGGAGUGAGGACUGCAGCAGCAUCUGCAGCAGAUCCUGUCUGUCAUUUUGAAAUAAAAUUUAAUAAGAAAAAGUCACUCCAUGUGCAUCACACACCAUGCACACACACACACAUCUAUUUUUAAUUUGCAGCUGACAAGAUUCAGAGCAUUGACAGCCACUCCACAGAGGAGGUUGGAGAAGUAGAGAGCAACCCAGUGAGCAAAGCCAUCGCUCGCCACCUGGGCGUUGACGUUUCUGCAGAAGGCCGCAUGGCCAGGAACCGGAAGGGCAUCGCCAUCAUCAUCCAUGGGACGCCCCUGUCAGGUGUGCACAGCCCUGAGGGGCAGCCCCCUUUUAGGUUUAUGGUGAAGUUGGCACGUGUAAUUUUUGAGGCAAUAAAAGAGUCUUGUCUUUGAAAUUUAUAUACCGAAGGAUCAUCCCCAAAGGUGUUAAACUGUCACCUUCAGAAAUACGGGGUUAGAGAAAGAGCAAAGACACCUCAUUUUUAAUUAAUACGUCUCUGAAUUGUUGGAGCUUUUAGUCCUUCAAUAAUUUAAUAACAUUAAAAUAUUAAAGACAAAUCCAAAACAUUAAGUUACUUAAAAAGAGAGAGGGAAGAUAAGGCCAAACUCUUUGACCUGGCAGUACUACCUCUAAACGUUUAUCUUAGGAAAAUAGUCAUAUGGACAAAGAUUAACUGCAUGAGUGUUCCCUGCAACACUGUUGCCCAUACUAACAAUGUGGAAGCAACUGAAGCAUUUAUUUAGAUCAUCAUUUGACUAGUUAGUUAAGCCAUAGUACGUUCAUGGAGUGAAUUCUAUCACCAGUGUCUUGUAUACCCUCGUUCAUAGCAGCAUCGUUCGCAAUUGCCAAAAGGUAGAAACAGCCUCCCUGUCACUGACAGAUGAAUAGAUAAACUAAGUAUGGUACAAUGGGAUACUAUUCGCUCACAAAGAGGAAGGAAGUUCUCACCCGUGCUGCAACGUAGAUGAACCCUGAAGCAUUAUGCCCAGUGAAAUAAGUGAAACAAAAAGAACAACUCCUGCAUGAUUCCAUUUAUACGGGGUAUGUAGACUAGUCAUAUUCAUAGAGACAGAAAGUAGAAUGGUGGUUUUCAGGGACUGAGGAAAGGGAGGAACGAAAGGGUGUUGUUUACCGGGCACAGAGUUUCCAUUUGGGAAGAUGAACCAGUGCUAAAGACGGAGGGCAGUGACGGCUGCACAGCAACAUGCAUAUACUUAGCAACUGAACUGUCCACUUAAAAACAGGUAAAAUGGUAACAUUUUUAUGUAUACAAUCACAGUAAAAAAAAAAAGUGCCAUAAAAGCAUAUUGAAUGAAUAAUGUACAUGAUACAUGAUUUUAGGUGAGCAAAAAAUGCUGUGCUUACAAUCUGUAGUCUGUAUUAAUUUCCUAUUGCUACUAUAACAAAUAACCACAUUCAGUGGCUUACAAAAUGAAAAUUUACUUUCUCAGAGUUCUGGACGUCGAAAGUCUAAGAUGGGUCAACAUUCUUUCUGGAAGCUUUAAGGGAGAAUCCAUUUCCUUGCCUUUUCUAGCUUCUAGAAACCUUACCUGCAUUCCUUGGCUCAUGGCCCCUUCCUCCUUCUUCAAAACCAGCAUUGUAGCAUCUUCCAGUCUCUCUCUCUCUGCUUUCAUCAUCACAUCACCUGUUCCUACUCUGAUGAUCCUACUUCUCUCUUUCAAGGACCCUUGUGAUUAUACUGGGCCCACCCAGAUAAGCUGGGGCAGUCUCCCAUAUCAGGAUUCUUAAUUUAGUCAUACCUACAAAGCCCCUUUACCAAAUAAGGUAACAUAAUCACAGGUUCCAGAGACUAGGAUGUGGACACCUUUGGAGGGCCAUUACUCAGGCUACCAGUAACCCAGUGCUUUUUUUUUUAUAUAAGAAAUGCUAAUGGAAUCAUUACAUAUGCAUACUUGGCAACCAUAUGAUGUUAUCUCUCUGGAGCAAGUUAUGAGUCUUUUCUCCUGUUAUGAAUUGUCUCCUUUCUUUUUAAUGAGCAGGUAUUUUGAAAUGAGAAAAAAAAGACCAACACAGGUUAACCAAAAAAAAAAAAAAAAAAAAAAAAA